UCUGUAUUGGUGAUUGGCAGCAAAAAACCUGAUCAGAGCAUCCCUAGCUAUUAGAUCAACGUGAAAACUAUUAUUUAUUUUGGGAUGUAGACUGGGGGGAAAUUGGUGAUCCGAGGAACCCUCCUAUUAUUAGAUCAAGAAAAUCGACGUGUUUCGGUCACGUAUGACCUUUGGCGGGGCAUCUAUUAUUAAUUUUUUUUAUUGUGCUGUGUGCUUUUACAUCAGAUUUUAUAUCAUUUUGUGACACAUGUUACUAUUUGUAGAUUUUUUAUUAUGUGCUUUUUGUCAUUUCAGAUUGAAAACAAUGAAUUCACCCUGCAUACUGAAAGUUAUCCUGGUGGAUAACACUAGCCAGAGGCUAAUACUUUCAAAUGGACUUCCUCAGUCUGUUCCAGAGCUGAUGGAGGAAGUGCAACGUCAGUGUGGACUGACAUACAACCUCAAAUUACAAUUAUGGAUUCACUCUUUGACAAUGACUUUAUUAAUCUGACAUCAACAUCUGAACUACAAAACAGAGGCACAAUUAAGGUAGUUGAUCUCUCCGAAGUUGGGUUUUCCCAGUCUUCUUCCUUAACCGCUGGAUGUGACCACAAGCUGUAGAGAAAAGAUCAGCUUCAAGUUUUUCUGGUGUGAGCUGUCCUGACAUAGAGCACCUUCCUCCUGCCGAGUCUGAGCAGUCACUUUCAAGGUUGCAAUGGCCAGCCAAGUUUUGUGUGCCAAAGUUUGCAUUUGAUUCUGAGUUCAAACUUGAAAAAGCUAAUGCUGAAUACAGGGAGAUAAAAACACUUCUUAUCCCAGACUGUAAAUUACUGUCAAACAUUCUGGAUUGUCUUAUUCAAGAAAUUGUUUGUUAUGGACUAUACAUAACUGAUAACCAGUUCAGCUGCGUGGGAGAGGCCCUCAUCAAGAAGCAUCCUUGUCUGCUAGAGCGAGGUUCAAUAACUGGAUACGCUGCACUGUAAUUCCCAAUAGUGCUUCUUACUAAAAUUAUGUCAGUUAUUUUCACUCACUUUAGCUAAAUAGUUAUACUUACUUUUAUACAAUUAGUUAAAACCCCAAACUAACAGUGUGAUGUUAAAACUCAUUCAUAAUUAGUAUAAUUGUGUUUAUCUUUUCUUUGGAGUAAUGUGCUUUUAAACUGUUUAAGUUGAGGUCGCUCAUUUCAAACAAAAAAAUAACCCCUCCCUUUUGCUUUUCCUACGUCAUCACUGAGCCUUGCACACGGAGAUGCUAACACAGCUCUGGGUGCUAUGCCACCGACAACAGCAGCGCCAGCGGCCAUUAGAGGCAUUUUUCGGCACGGAGGAGAAUUUUAACCACAUUGCCAGAAUUACAAGGCUUCCCACCUGACCUCCUGCACGACCUGUUUGAAGGCGUUGUUCCAGUGGAGAUAGCUCAUUGCUUAAAAGGUUUGAUUUCCAGUAAAUAUUUUACAUUAGAAGACUUAAAUCGAGCAAUAUUGCACUUUCCAUAUCAACAUUCUGACAAAGUUGAUCGCCCUCAUCCAAUACCCACUAAUUUUGCCAGUCGAGGGACCAUUGGUGGGAAUGCUCAUGAAAAUCAUGCCCUGCUUAUAAUGUUGCCUCUUCUCAUUGGCUCAAAAGUCCCAGAAAGAGACACGUUUUGGGAAGUGCUAAUGGAGUUAAAGGAUGUCGUUCAGCUUGCCAUGUCUCAGAUUUUUAAUGAAGAGACCAUUCAGUACUUGGCUUGUAAAAUAUUGGACCACCGGCAACUCUUCCAAGAAGUGUUUCCUAAUGUUCGAUUAAGGCCAAAGCAUCAUUACAUCGAGCAUUACCCACACUUGAUAAAAUGCUUUGGUCCCUUGGUCCACCUUUGGACAAUGAGAUUUGAGGGAAAGCAUAAGGUUUUCAAAAAAAUUAUUCAUGACACUCACAACUACAAAAAUGUGUUAAAAACUUUGGCAGAGCGACAUCAAAGUCAGAUGGCAUUUUAUUUGUCAUCCUCAAAGUUUUUCAAACCACAUGUUCAGACAUCCAAAAUGGAGUCUAUGUACAUCUCAUCACUACCUGCAGAUACACAAUCAUUUAUCUCAGGUAUUGUUGACAGUGACACAGUUUAUGGAACAAAAAAUAUCUCAAUUGAUGGCACAAGCUUUGCAAUUGGCAUGUUUGUAUGUACUGGUGCUUAUGCAGCCUUGCCAGAGUUCAAAGAGAUUCGAAACAUCCUACUCAUCAGCGACAAAAUGCAUUUUCUCUUAAAAGACUACGACACUUUGUAUGUUGAGCACUUGAGGUCAUACGAACUAGUCGAGCAUAUACCGGAGAGUCAUAGUGUCAAAUCUGUGUGCCAGCUGUCUGACCACCUGCCACAUUUUGCUUAUAAGAUUGCAAAUGAACUAAUUCUAACAACAAAACAUUUCAUUCCAGUGUCUGACUAAAGAAACAGAACUGAAAUAUCAGCGGAUCUCCCCAGCCCUUCUGCCAGUGUACAGGUAAUGCAUACAUGGCAUGAGAACUCUGAGUGUGUUGAAAUGUCGCUAUAUUAUUUGAAUCCUGUAUGUUACAGGACCUACAACUUCAGAUGGAGGCAACAGAGAGACUGAAGCUAAGGGUCAUCCUUGAUAAUGAUAAUGCUGAAAGACUUAUUCUGCCAUCUCGCCCAAGCAGUGUACAGGCCCUCAUAGAUGAAAUCAAAACUAGGCUAAAGUUGACUUUUGACUUUAGGCUUCAGUUUGAAGAUCCAGAUUUUGAUCAUGCAUUGUGUAAUUUGGUUGAAAUGGAACACCUCCCAAGCACAGCAUCGGUUAAAAUAAUCAGAUUAGUGGAGCUGGACUUGAUUUCAACCAGCACUAGUGAGACAAGUCUUCUGAACGAUAGCACUGAUGCCAUAGAUUCACCAGAGCGUAUUAGUCGGUGGCCAGAGGUUUUUAUUGUUCCAAAAUUUUCUUAUGAGGUGGAACAUGUGCUAAAGGAAGGUAAUGCAGCAUUUGAAAAAGAUGGGAAACUAAUUAGACUUCCUAGAGAUCAAAAACACAACAUACUCGAGGUAAUGGGGGAAGAAAAUUUUUAAACUGAAGGCAUAUCCUAGUAGCACACAGAUUGGAAAGGCUGCAAAAGCUUUAGUUGAAAAGCAUCCCUGUCUGAAGGAGAACAAUUCUGACACUGGUUGGGAAGGAUGGAAGAAUAGUUUGAGACACAAAAUAGGAAACCGUACAGUGCACGUCUGUACGUGCGCUUGCUAAGCCCUUGAUCUUUAGUCCCAAAGCUGUCAUGAGAUCAAACCACCUUUGUACGUCAAAGGAGUCGCAUCUUUGAACAUAGCAAAUCGGAUUGUCAGAAAUCAACUAUGCCUGCCUCUUACGUGGAAUUAUUUAAACGCAACAAGGAACUGGAGAGGGAAAGAAAUGAAUUAUCUCGAAAAGUCACGGAUUAUGAACAAGUAAUUCUGUUACUGAAAGAGAAACAAGCUACCGAAAAAUUACAAUCGAAUGAGAAGUAUGAAAAAGAUAUGAAACAAAAAGCUUUAGAUAAUGACUUUAAAAUUCAAAAAGCAAAUGAAGAGAUAGCUGGUUUGAGAAACAAGAUCUCGCAACAGGAGGAAUCUAUUAAAGAACUCAAACAGGAGAAUAAAUCUCUUAAAAUAUGUGAUAAAAAACUGAACAAAAUGACUCUUGAUCAAAGGACCCUAAAAGAUAGAAUUCAGACCAUCAAGGAAAAUAACAAAACGCUCACAUCAAAAAAAUCGACUUUAAAUAAAACAGUUCGUGCACUUAAAAAAAA